CCUGCUUUGGCAGGGGGGUUGGACUCGAUGAUCUCUGCAGGUCCCUUCCAACCCCCAAGAUUCUGUGAUUCUGUGGGAAGCGUUAUUCUCGUUCUUAAACCAAAACACUAACUUGACUCUCUGCCUUUCUUCCUGUGUCCUGCGCAGCGGUGUGUCGGUUUUCUCACUCACAGCAUGAAUGAGUUCCGCAUCCACCACGAUGUCAAUGAGCUGCUCAGCCUGCUGCGUGUGCAUGGUGGUGAGGGGGCUGAGGUGUAUAUCGACCUGCUGCAGAAGAACCGCACGCCCUACGUCACCACCUCUGUGUCUGCACACAGCGCUAAGGUAAAAAUAGCAGAGUUUUCUAGAACUCCUGAAGAUUUUUUAAAGAAAUAUGACGAGCUGAAGUCUAAAAAUACAAGACAUCUAGAUUCUUUGGUGUACUUACUGUCAAAGCUCACAGAAGACAAAGAGACACUCCAGUAUUUGCAACAAAAUGCUAAAGAAAGAGCGGAACUUACAGCAAACAUGGCAGCUGGUGGCAGCACAAAUUUCUCCAUUCCCUCGUCUACAUCCAAGAUAUCUCUGCAGGAACUUGAGGAGUUGCGCAAGCAGCUUGGCACUGUCACAGCCAACUCCAGCGCACAGCAGCCUCUUGAGCUUACACGAAAAAUGCUCCGAGAUAAACAAAACAAGAAGAAUUCAGGUCAGCCUGUUCCAGUGUUUCCAUCCUGGGUGUAUGAGAGGCCUGCGCUUAUUGGCGAUUUCUUAAUUGGCACUGCUCUAAGUACUGACGUAACGGUACCUAUAGGUACUCUGCCAUUAGCAUCCCAAGAAUCCAUGAUUGUGGAGGACUUGCUGUAUGUUUUGAUUGGUGUGGAUGGAAGAUACAUCACAGCACAGCCUCUCAUUGGCAGGCAGAACCGAGCAUUUUUAGUUGAUCCAAACUUGGACUUGUCCAUCAAAGAGCUGGUGACCAGGAUUCUUCCCGUAGCAGCAAGUUACUCUGCUGUCACCAGAUUUAUAGAGGAGAAGUCUUCCUUUGAGUAUGGACAGGUAAAUCAUGCGCUGGCUGCUGCUAUGCGGACUCUGAUCAAGGAAUACAUGAUACUAAUUACCCAGCUGGAACAUCUUCAGAGACAGGGACUUCUCUCGCUGCAGAAGCUCUGGUUUUAUAUCCAGCCCACAAUGAGGACCCUAGAGAUUCUUUCUUCACUUGCUACUUCUGUGGAUAAGGGUGAGUGUAUGGGAGGGUCAACCCUGAGCUUACUCCACGAUAAGACUUUCAACUACACAGGAGACAGCCAGGCCCAGGAGCUGUGUCUGUAUCUAACGAAGGCAGCCAGCGUGCCCUACUUUGAAAUUCUGGAAAAGUGGAUAUAUCGAGGCAUCAUUAAUGAUCCAUACAGUGAGUUCAUGGUGGAGGAACACGAGUUGCAGAAGGAGAAGAUUCAGGAAGACUAUAAUGACAAGUAUUGGGAUCAAAGAUACACGGUUGUUCAGCAGCAGAUUCCCUCUUUCUUGCAGAAAAUGGCUGACAAAAUACUAAGCACAGGGAAAUACUUGAAUGUUGUGCGAGAAUGUGGACGUGAUGUUACCUGCCCUGUGGCUAAAGAGGUCAUCUAUACUUUAAAAGAGCGAGCAUAUGUGGAACAAAUAGAAAAAGCAUAUAACUAUGCUAGCAGAGUUCUUCUGGAUUUCCUAAUGGAGGAGAAAGAGCUUGUGGCUCACCUAAGAUCUAUAAAACAUUAUUUCCUGAUGGAUCAAGGGGACUUUUUUGUUCACUUCAUGGAUCUCACAGAAGAGGAACUUAAGAAGCCUGUAGAUGACAUCAUAACUACUAGGCUAGAAGCAUUGCUUGAGUUGGCCUUGCGAAUGAGCACAGCCAAUACAGAUCCUUUCAAGGAUGAUUUAAAGAUUGACUUGAUGCCCCAUGACCUCAUUACACAGCUCUUGAGAGUAUUGGCCAUAGAAACAAAGCAGGAAAAAGCCAUUAUUGGUGCAGAUCCCACGGAACUCACUCUCAGUGGUCUGGAAGCAUUUUCCUUUGACUACAUUGUUAAGUGGCCUCUGUCCCUGAUUAUAAACAGGAAAGCACUGACAAGAUACCAGAUGCUUUUCAGACACAUGUUCUAUUGCAAACAUGUGGAAAGGCAGUUGUGCAACGUUUGGAUCAGCAAUAAGACAGCCAAGCAGUUCUCCCUACAUUCAGCUAAAUGGUUUGCUGGUGCUUUCACACUGCGGCAGCGAAUGCUGAAUUUUGUGCAGAAUAUCCAGUAUUACAUGAUGUUUGAAGUGAUGGAGCCAACAUGGCACAUUCUCGAGAAGAACUUGAAAUUGGCUGGAGAACUUUUCCACUCCUGUGAUGUCUGAGAGAGGCUAAGCUCAUUUCCUGCUGGUUUUUAUGCCUGACGAGGGGUUAUCUGGGCAAAAUACGCCUGACCUCUCCUUUCAUGGACGUACAGCAUUCUGGGCUGAGAGAUUUUCUAAGUGUGUAAAGCAGCGUUCCUGGUUCAUUGAUCAAAAUAAAGUCAGUCACUUCUCCAGAAGUUAACUCUUUGCCCUAGCACAAGCUCCAGGUACCAGUUUUUAUCUCCUGAUGGGCAUAUGAGAUGCCUUUAUCACCUCAGAAAGAAGCAUAUUCCCAGUAAGCAUCCUACCUCCCUGUUUUAAGCCGAGAAGACCCCAGAAGAAUAGAAGCUGACAUUCCAGAACUGAUUCUAGGCUAUUGAAGAAGCCCUCAGAUGCCUUCUGAAAUGUGAUGUAAUCAAUUCAGAUUAGAAGGUUCCAGACAACAGAGAAAAAAUCUGUUACUGGAAGACCAAGGAUUUGUCUCUCUUAGGCUUCUAAUAUUGAUGAUGUUCUGAGCCACCACACGAGCUUUUUGGACAACUGCCUGAAGGACUGCAUGCUGACCAACCCUGAGCU